CAACCGCCAUAGCUAUUGGUUAAAUGCUCAUUAUCUGCGGUUCUGGAGAGCGAGAGAUGCCAAACGAGAUAUGGGGAAGUGUUCAAGACGGCUGGUCGUUUUUCUAUUUCUAUGGGUAACAAAUUCUCACCUUCUAUUGACAGUUUCUUCUUCUACUUCACCUCGGGGUUAUCAAGAAUCUGCAGGUGCAAGAACACUGAAGCAAGAGCAGGGACAUGCCCAUGAAGUGCAUUGUUCAAGAGAAAGGAGUAGGGCAGCAUGGAAAAUAAUUGAGGAGUAUUUCAUGCCUUUCGUAGAGAAGGAAAGAUAUCACAUUUCAACUAGGUGUAGGCUUCACCCAGAAAAUGACUUGUUCAGAGAUCAGGAAGAGCACAAGAUCCAUCAGGAUCUACAUGAUUGGCGAUGUGGGUAUUGUAAAAAGGUUUUUUAUGAUGAGACGUAUCUUGAUAAGCAUUUUGAUAACAGACACUAUGAUAUAUUGAAUGUGAGUCAUGGUAGGUGCUUGGCAGAUGUAUGUGGUGCACUACAUUGUGACCUUGUGAUGGAUUCUGCAACACGAAAGACCAAGUGUAAUCCUGCGGCAGCAGCAAAGAAUAAACAUCUAUGUGAGAGUCUAGCUGAUAGUUGUUUUCCAGCCAAUGAAGGUCCUUCAGCACAUCGCCUUAAUGAGUUGUUCUUGCGUCAAUUUUGUGAUGCCCACACUUGCAAUGGUCGUCGGAAACCAUUUCCCAGAGGGGGCGAGGUAAAUUUCAACUUCUCUGGCUUGUUUUUGUUCUGUUUAAGGAGAUAUCAAGUAACGACAAAGCUCAGAUUGAUUGGUGAUGAAGUGGCAAAAAGCAUUUUUGCAAUCCCUCUUUAUUUUCAAGCCUAUAGCCAAAGCAAAUCAGUGUAGUGUACAUUGUAAUUUCUGUCAUGAUUUUGAUGCUGCUGUUGCUUUACUAUACCUUCAUGUACUUGUACAAGAGGGGAAUAAAAACGGGCACUCAAGGGCUGCGGCGCAUAUCAAAGGGUGGACAGAACAAAAAAUCUUCAUAGACUGUCCAUUUUGGUUUUGAUGUUUGAUGUACCUUCAAUUCUUACAGAAAAAAACUGUCCAUUUUUGCACUUUAGGCAUACUAUCAACUGUAAUUUUCCGCACCCUGAAUCAUGGAGUGGGGAAACCAGAUAGGGAAACAAGUGAAGAGUGUAGCAUAGACCGUGAGUGAUGUAAAGGAACAUGUUAAGCGACUUACUUUUCUGAAUACAAAUGCUUUUCUGAAUACAAAUGCUUUAUUCAUUGGAA